rnacentral:lncRNA from 1 species
UUCCUCUCUGAGUUAUGAGAUAGACCAACUCAAAGUCCAUUGAUCCAAAGUCUUUCUCCAAUUCGAGUGUGUCAAAGUUCCCUAAGAGCAUCAACGGGACUCCAUGCAGUGCUCACACCCAUAUUGUAUCACCAUAAUAGGGACAAGUGUAGUGUGGAAGUGCCAACCCUCACGUGUCUAAGUUCAGAUGGAGCUCAUAGGUCCCAAGGCAAGGCUCAAAAGAGGGGAGAAGAACUUAAGUCUAAGAGAGAGUGCAAGUGAAGAAACAGAGUUCUGAAGGAAUAAAGGAGAGGGAAAUGGGUGCUGGGAAACAGUCAUAAACAAGUUGAUAAUUUCAAAUAAAAGGUGUUCAUGGGUUGGGAAAUUAUAAAAGGCCUAUGUAUUUUGGCAAGGGUCAGCUUUGGGCAUGCAUAGUAAUAGAAGAUGCUAGCAUGCCUAUAAGUCCACCAGAACACACAAUACUAGAGAAACAUAGAGGUUAUGAUCCCAAGGAUCAAGUUUUGAGUCAUGGACAACAAUGCUCAAUACUAUCAUGCCUCAAACAAACCAUCAAUAUUAAACACAUUGGGGUAGGGGUUUAGGAUACUUAAUAAAUAGAUCCAGAAUAGGAAGAAAGUAAUUACAACAUGCUAGAAUAAAGUACUGCACUAAACACUAGCAGUAGACAGACAAGAAGGCGAAAGCAAUCAGUAAACAUAUUAUUGUGAUGCUGAAAUUUUAAUCAAAACAUACCAGUUCAAAGAAGAAAAAUACAGUAAUGGUAAAGUAGCAGGAUUUUGAAAUAUAGCUCUGGCUUUUAGCCAGCUAAAUAGGUCACAGUAAAAGUAGUAAAAUAGGAGAGAACGUUUUGAGUGUAAGUGAUUUUAGAACUAAGAGUAUUUAUGUUUUUGCUAAUGAAUGAGUGAGGUACUUAUAGUUUGAAAACAAGUAGAAAAUAAGGAAAGAAUCAUAUUUUAGUAGUAAUUAUGGAACUAUGUAUCAAUUAAAAUCAAACCAUUAUAAGUACUUCCUUUCAUUAAGGAGUUAAAUCAACCAACGGUAAUGAGAAAAAAACAUUUAAGGAAAGAAAUCAAGUAGAGCAUAAUGUAAAGAAUAGACAAUUAGGGGUAGGUACAUAGGGGUCCAAUUAAGGAAAAGACUAAUGAAGAAUCAGUAAAAAUACUCGGUUAACCAAAAAAGGUAGGAAACACAAGAGAUUUGCAAAAUAUGGAGACAAUCAUCUCCCAGUAAAUCAGGGAGUAUUACUGAUUUAAGGAGAAUCACACAUGGCCCCAAGCAUAAGCAAAUAAACUAAAUUAAAAAUAGCAGAAUCGAAAGUGUAUGGAAAAUUUUCAAAUCAGGCCCAGAAACAAGGAGCUCAGAAUCAAUCAAAGAGAGAACCAUGCGUCCUGUUUAAGCAUAUAAGUAGAAUGCACAAACAUGAGGCAUGUGAGGCUAAACCAUGGCAAAGAGAAGAAACAUGCGAUAACAAUCACAAAGUCAGUAGACGGUGAAACAUGGUAGUCACAUAGGUCAACUUAGUAAUAGAGAAAAAGUGUAUCAGAAUCAUGCAAAGGGUCAAGUAAAGAGGCCCUUCUGUAAAGUAUAGUCUAGUUUCAAUGAUUGCAAAAAAACAAAUCACAUAGAGAAAUAGAGGUUGAAACAAAAAGGACUUUGAAUCUAGUCGAGCAACUUCAAAUAGAUGAAGCAGUUUUCAGAAGCUCGAAUAGGCCUAAAGAAAUUAAGGUUUUGAAACCUAUCAAAUUCAGAGAUGAUGAACAAGUAAAUGAUACAACAGAUAGUCUCAGAUGUUGAGCGAACCCAAAAUUUUAGGGUUUUCAACAUCAAUCGAGUCUAGAUAUGAAAAAUAAGUAAAUCAAACAAAUACUAACAAAUAAUUUAUUCAGAAAUCUCAAAAGAAACUAAGACUCCUGACAUGUAAACUCUAGUAAAGAACGACAUAAGGAAACAUAGGAGAACAUGUUUAAAAUCAAAGGAAGCUUCGAAAUAACUUAACAAAAACCAAAAACGGAGAAGAUAAAUAGGUUCUGAAGGUAGAGUUUGAAAGAAACCUUUGAGAAAAAUAUCUAGAAGUUUAGAGCAAACACAUAUCUAAAACACACCUAAAAGAAAUAGGAAGAACCUUAAAGGUUAGGGUUUCCAGAGAACCCCAGAUGGUGAGAAAGGCUUGGAAAAUCAUCAAUCUAAGUAAGAGAAGUCAAGAAUCAUGCUUGAAUAGCCAUGGCUGGCCGGAGCAAAGUCAAAGAUGACUAGAGACAGCCAUAAAACUGAAAUAAUCCAAGAUCUGGACCUAAAUUAUCCAGGAUUCAGCCUUGAAAUCAUGAAACUUGAACACAUAGAAGCCUUGGGAGGUGGAUACAGGACUCCAAUGGCUUUGGAAGCCAUUGAUUUCGGCGGUUUUGGGGUGGUAGUUGAGGGCAACAACUAUGGUUUGAUAGAGGAUUGAGAGAGAAGGGGGAUUCAGAGGUGACCGUAGG